CGUCAAGUCACUGUGAACAAAGGAUAAGACAUCUUGUGAGUUCGUUCCUAUUUAUUCCUCUUAUUCCAUCUUCUCAAUUCUAUUAGAAUUCUUAUUCUCCUUUCUCAAUUUCAUUGUUACCAUUUUUGCUAAAACUUGAGUCAGUGCUUUGUGCAUUCUUCAUUCGUUACUAUUCAUUAAAUAUUACAUGCGUUUGCUAUCUAUAAUAAUAUUUAGCUGUUUAUUACAUCGUCAAUUUCUUUGUUCGGGGCUUUGUGUGCUAAUUACCCAUAGUCGUAAAACUCAAGCGUUGAAUGCUUGUUGUAUGAAUCAUCUUGUUUACUUCAAAUCGAAAUGCAUAGUCAUUAAGCCUAGCAAACGAGUUUAUUUUUUUGCUUGCAUAAUAAUAUCGUGACAACGGUGCAUCAAGUAGCUCGUUAGUUUAAAUCAGCUGUUGCCAGUAUCGAUUUACAGACUGAGAUCGAGGUCUUAUCUGACGAGCCACCAGUCGAUGAGGUUCCUGCGGAGCGUGUGCAGUUUGACAACGACUACUAUACGCUUGUGGCCCGAGCCAAGAGACUACUUGCUGCCGGGGAGAAGGCCAGUGAAUCUGUGGCGGAGUUCAGCGACGCAGAAUCAGCGUUGGUGAAGGUGGUUGACGGCAAGGGCAACAAACACACCGCCAGGGUGAUCUUGGACAACGGUAGUGGAAUAAAUAUCGUUUCCGAAGCUUUCUGCAGUAAGCUGGGUUUGCCGAGGCGGAACGUGAGCUCCACGGACUCAAGUUCCCAAAUCAGCUCCGCAGUCGCUCAAGAGGGAAUAGAGUUCCUCUUCAUUCCGAGCUACACACCCCAUUUCAACGGUAUGGCUGAAUCUGCAGUCCGUUCCACGAAAUAUCAUCUUCGUAGGCUUCUCCAACUUACGCAUUUCACGUAUGAAGAAAUGCACACUUGUCUGACUCAGGUGGAAGCCAUUCUAAAUUCACGUCCUAUAACUGCCUUAAACUCUGAUCCUACAGACUUCACACCUUUAACACCCGCACACUUCCUAAUAGGACGAUCACUUGUGUCCGUUCCACAUCCACAGUUGACAGAAAGGAUAACAAGUCUUGAACGGUACAAACGAAUCGAGUUCGUCAAGCAACAUUUUUGGAAACGAUUCUCCAACGAGUAUGUUACCACUCUACAGCAAAAGACAAAGUGGCCUACUGCAUCAAGCGAACUCAAAUUGGGUUCUUUAGUCCUUAUAAAGGAUAAAGCGCUUCCUCCCCUACGUUGGGCCUUGGGUCGCUGUGUGGCCGUUUUCCCAGGAACUCACGAUCAAGUCGCUCGAGUCGCCGAUAUAAGGAUCAAAGGAGGAACCAUCAUUCGAAGGGCGUUUAAUAACAUUUGUCCCCUUCCAGAAACUGGUUGUUGAACCAGCAGCCUUCCUGUCUACUUCAACCCGGGGAGUAUGUUGGUGACAAACAACGCACACAUCAUCGCAUCGUGGGCCACCGCGACGACCGUGCGGGGAUCGGGGGACGAGGCGCCGCGAGUAGCCGUCGCCCACGCAGCAACGCACCACCACCAGUCUCACAUAUGACACGGACCAUAGGCGCGCGUUCUUACAAUCCAAUAUACGAACCUACCAUAGAAUACA